ACACUCCUACGGGAGGCAGCAGUGGGGAAUUUUGGACAAUGGGCGAAAGCCUGAUCCAGCAAUGCCGCGUGAGUGAAGAAGGCCUUCGGGUUGUAAAGCUCUUUUGUCAGGGAAGAAACGGUGAAAGCUAAUAUCUUUUGCUAAUGACGGUACCUGAAGAAUAAGCACCGGCUAACUACGUGCCAGCAGCCGCGGUAAUACGUAGGGUGCAAGCGUUAAUCGGAAUUACUGGGCGUAAAGCGUGCGCAGGCGGUUUUGUAAGUCUGAUGUGAAAUCCCCGGGCUCAACCUGGGAAUUGCAUUGGAGACUGCAAGGCUAGAAUCUGGCAGAGGGGGGUAGAAUUCCACGUGUAGCAGUGAAAUGCGUAGAUAUGUGGAGGAACACCGAUGGCGAAGGCAGCCCCCUGGGUCAAGAUUGACGCUCAUGCACGAAAGCGUGGGGAGCAAACAGGAUUAGAAACCCAUGUAGUCCCA
rnacentral:rRNA from 1 species